UCGCAGUCAGUACAGUACAAUACAGUACACGCAGAAAUAGAAGAACACACACUCAGAAAAGUAUGAAAACACAGAAAAGUAUGAAAACGUAGUCUGGGUGAGACCCACAGUGGAAACAGGGAAGACAAAAAGGUAUUGGGCUCAGAAGUGGAAACAGGGAAGACAAAAAGGUAUUGGGCUCGGAAGUGGAAACAGGGAAGACAAAAAGGUAUUGGGCUCGGAAGUGGAAACAGGGAAGACAAAAAUGUAUUGGGCUCGGAAGUGGAAACAGGGAAGACAAAAAGGUAUUGGGCUCGGAAGUGGAAACAGGGAAGACAAAAAGGUAUUGGGCUCGGAAGUGGAAACAGGGAAGACAAAAAGGUAUUGGGCUCAGAAGUGGAAACAGGGAAGACAAAAAGGUAUUGGGCUCGGAAGUGGAAACAGGGAAGACAAAAAGGUAUUGGGCUCAGAAGUGGAAACAGGAAAGACAAAAAGGUAUUGGGCUCGGAAGUGGAAACAGGGAAGACAAAAAGGUAUUGGGCUCGGAAGUGGAAACAGGGAAGACAAAAAGGUAUUGGGCUCGGAAGUGGAAACAGGGAAGACAAAAAGGUAUUGGGCUCGGAAGUGGAAACAGGGAAGACAAAAAGGUAUUGGGCUCGGAAGUGGAAACAGGGAAGACAAAAAGGUAUUGGGCUCGGAAGUGGAAACAGGGAAGACAAAAAGGUAUUGGGCUCGGAAGUGGAAACAGGGAAGACAAAAAGGUAUUGGGCUCGGAAGUGGAAACAGGGAAGACAAAAAGGUAUUGGGCUCGGAAGUGGAAACAGGGAAGACAAAAAGGUAUUGGGCUAGGAAGUGGAAACAGGGAAGACAAAAAGGCACUGUAUUAAUGGCUUGUUGGGCCCUUGUGCCGGCGGCUCUUUUGCUGGAAAUAAUUAAAUCGGUGUAUCAUGAUGACUGACGGGAGGAUUUAGGGCCUUUCGACAGAGGGCCGAGCGGAGCUCCUCUUAUCUUCUCCUCUGUACCCCUCGCCUCCACACAAUGAGGCAUCUCGCCAAGCCUCACUGUUCAGACCCAUCUGGCUCUCAUUUAAACAUGCACACAAAGGCAGAGAAUUUGUCAAACACAUCUGUCUGUGUCAACUUUUGUCAACUUAAAGGAAUAUUUAUUUUACUUCCACGCUUCGUUUUGUCCUAGUGGAGCACAUGGGCAUUCUUCUGGAGUGUCUCCAAAUUCAAGAUUUUACAUGAACAGAGGUUAACCUCGGCAUAUACAGAAAAUAAAAUAUAGAAAUCAACUGGUGAAAUACAGUUUAGCAUACUACACCACACUAUUUACAGUAGAGAAUCAGAACCAGAUGACAGCCGACAGAACGAAACCAUCAUGCAUGCAUCUCCAAGCCAUCACAGGAAGCCCACAUCAUUUGUUGCUUUAAUUGAAAGUGCUGCUGUUUCUGAGAACACUGCUUUUCACUCACCCAGGCCUUGAAUGUUGUAAUGAGUGCAUUAGGGAUACAUGAUUUAACAUUGGAUUUGAUCAUUAUCUUUGUAAACUCAUGAAGUUUAGCAUUUUAAGUACGAGUAUCUUUAUAUUAUGUACACUGACAUUGCCUGUUAGAUUAAUGAUCUAAUGUCCAUCACACUAUGUGAUGAUAAAAGAUGGCACAUUAUGUGUGCCAAUAGACAGACACCAAGAUCCCUUUAUGGAUACAUGCAAUUACAAUAGACAAUAACAAAACCCAUCAGCUUGGUAAGAAUGUCUUAGAACCUUUUCCAAUUGUAUUCUUUAUGCAUAGCAUCUUUUUAGUAUUUUUGUCUGUUGGGACCCAGUGUACAUUUUACUAUUAUUUUCAGGUUCUGAAAUCUAUAUUUGAUAUUUCCUCUGAUAUUUUGAGUUCAUUUCCCAUAUGUGGUCAUGCUGCCUUUCCAUGUUGUGGUGGAUCCGCUAUGUAGGAUUCUUACCAAAGAUUUAUUUGGUGUAAAACAGCCAAAGCUGAGUGUAAUUAAUUACCAAUGACAUAAUGUCAAAUCCAAUGACAAAUGUGCAUAUAACAUUGUGCUUUUCUGGUAAGUCCUCUGAAAGUCUAAUCGUGCACGUGGCCUAUUCGUUUUGUAAUAAAUUCAUAAGAAACUAUUAAAUCCACGUGUCUCCUUUCAUUAUGGAUACACUUGUGGAGUCGGAAUCUCUUGGAAUUGGAAAGAACAUCUAUUUAUCAGCAGACUUUCUGAGAAGGUGUCAGCUCAAACCCAUACUGAUAUUGGUGAAAAAUGGU